rnacentral:rRNA from 1 species
CGGCGGACGGGUGAGUAACGCGUGGGUAACCUACCCUGUACACACGGAUAACAUACCGAAAGGUAAUGCUAAUACGGGAUAAUAUAUUUGAGAGGCAUCUCUUGAAUAUCAAAGGUGAGCCAGUACAGGAUGGACCCGCGUCUGAUUAGCUAGUUGGUAAGGUAACGGCUUACCAAGGCGACGAUCAGUAGCCGACCUGAGAGGGUGAUCGGCCACAUUGGAACUGAGACACGGCCCAA